UCUCCUCCUCCUCGCAUUCUAGCAUAUCUCCGUCCUCACUGGCAGAGAAAAUGGACGCAGUGGAGAGGAAGGGCCAGAGCUCCCACCAUCGCCGCUCCGCUAGUUUGCCAAUGCCAUAGUCGCUGCUCCUCCACUGGUCCAUCGUUCGUCAUCGCCACAUUCGAGCACUCCUCCUCCCUUGCAGUGGAGCCUUUGUCCAUUUCUCACCAGCAGGGAAGAGGGUUGCAGUAGGCGUGCAGGCCAGAGCUCCCACCAUCGUCACAUUAAACAGCCGGUUCACCAUUGCCACAGGGUUUUUUGAAACAAGAAAGGGAUGCUGUGGAACAGGAGUUGUGGAGACUGAAUCUUGUGCAAUCCAAAGUCUAUUGGAACAUGCUCCAAUGCCAGUGAGUAUGUAUUCUGAGAUUCAGUUCACCCAACACAAGCAGCAAACCAGAAGCUAGCUGAUGCCCUCUUGCUCCAAGACAUUCCCCUCAUUGGAUGAGAAAUCUGCGCAGUCCUGUUUCUCUUCAAACAAAAUGAGAAAGAAGAGACCUCCUUGUUGCACCAAUAGAUUCU